rnacentral:tRNA from 1 species
UAUUGUUUAGUUAAGGGUAAAGCAUCUGCCUGAAAUGCAGGAGACCCGGGAUCGAUCCCUGGGUCAGGAA